UGGGGAAUAUUGCACAAUGGGCGCAAGCCUGAUGCAGCCAUGCCGCGUGUAUGAAGAAGGCCUUCGGGUUGUAAAGUACUUUCAGCGGGGAGGAAGGGAGUAAAGUUAAUACCUUUACUCAUUGACGUUACCCGCAGAAGAAGCACCGGCUAACUCCGUGCCAGCAGCCGCGGUAAUACGGAGGGUGCAAGCAUUAAUCGGAAUUACUGGGCGUAAAGCGCACGCAGGCGGUUUGUUAAGUCAGAUGUGAAAUCCUCGGGCUCAACCUGGGAACUGCAUCUGAUACUGGCAAGCUUGAGUCUCGUAGAGGGGGGUAGAAUUCCAGGUGUAGCGGUGAAAUGCGUAGAGAUCUGGAGGAAUACCGGUGGCGAAUGCGGCCCCCUGGACGAAGACUGACGCUCAGGUGCGAAAGCGUGGGGAGCAAACAGG
rnacentral:rRNA from 1 species